rnacentral:lncRNA from 1 species
AGGGGAGGCAUCUGGAAGAAGGAACUGUAUUCCUGCCUGGAAUGUUGCUGAGCCUGUGCAAGCUUCCGCCACUGUCAGCUAUGACUUCGUCUGAGUCUGUGCCCCAGUGGUCUUCCCAGCCUGGUGGCCUGGGGGCCUACUCAGUGUCCAAGGAACGUGGUCAUUCAGUCCUGCAGAGGGUGGGGCUGUGGGGAAAGGAAGCUGCAGGCUUAGCGACCUGUGAGGCAAACAGCCCGGAGGGAUGCAGCCUGCCCAGCUGCUGGAGGGAAGGAGAGCACGCUUUGCUGAGAAAGGCCCGGAGCCUGUCCUUGCUCGCCAGCGUCCCCAGGCCACCUGCCCUUCUCUGUGCCUGCCUGACAGCCGCGCUCCUUGUGGAAGUUAAACUGCAGAACCAAUGUUGGCUACUUCUUCAUACAGCUCCCAGAGAAAGCUUAAUCAGGGGCAUGGCUGGGGUUCACCCACUGUCCCUUUCUGUGCAUCAGAUCAGGGCCGGGCAGGGAGUUGAUAAUGUGGCUGGGGUUGGAGACGAAGAGGCCCCCUUCCUCCUCUGGCAGCUGAUGGGGCAAGAGCAUGACAACAGCAAGAGCAUCAUAUAUGGGGGGCCAAGUGCUUUAUAUCCAUCAUCUCAUUCCCCCCGUGAGAACUCUGUCAAGUGGGCACCUCUGUGUGGGAUUUGAGGAUGAGCCAGGUAAGGAAUCUGCCAAAGGGCACACAGCUAGUAACCGUGUGGAGUGCCGAUUUGGCUGUCUGGGCUCAGAAUUCCAGGGCAAGUCAUUUAAUCUCUCAGGUCUUAGUUUCCUAUCUGGAAAAUGAAAGCAUUUAAAGCCUCCCUGUAUCAUUAUUGGGAAGAUUGGAGAAAGGAUGUAUAGUACCUAGCACACAGCAUGUAGUACAUGCUCACUAGAUGACGCCUGCGAUGGUGAUGAUGGGAUGAUGGCGGUGAUGGUGAUGGGCUGAUGGUGAUGCUGGCAAUGGUGAUGAUGGUGGUGAUGGUGAUGAUGAUGGUGGUGAUGAUGGUGAUGGUGAUGGCAGUGGUGGUGGUGAUGAUGAUGGUGAUGAUGGUAAUGGGGAUGGUGACGGUGAUGACGAUGGGAUGAUGGUGGUGAUGGUGAUGAUGGCAAUGGUGAUGAUGGUGGUGACGGUGAUGAUGGCAAUGGUGAUGGUAAUGAUGUUGGUGAUCGUUAUCAUGGUGACGAGGAGGACAGUGAGAUGCCAAAUUAUUGAACUAUUUCUAGACCUAGGCUUGCUGACCCUCAUCCACCCCCUAAAAGGGCGUUUUGCCCCACAGAUAAAUAUGGAGGAAUGUUCUUUUGCUCCCUGAGUAUAUCAGUGUCGUGUGGCUGCCGUAACAAGUUGCCGCUAACCGGGUGCUUAAAGCAGCAGAAACUUAUUCUCUCAAAGUCCUGGAGGCCAGAAGUCAAAAAUUAAGGUGCUGGCAGUGUCGGUUCUUUCUGGAGACUCUGAGGGGGAAACAGCCCAUACUCCUCCCCCAGCUUGCGGGGGUUGCCAGCCUUCCCUGGAGUUCCUUGGCUUGUGGCCGCAUCUCUCCAGUCUGCCUCUGUCUUCACACGGCCUUCCCCUCUGUGUGUCUCUGUGUGACCUCUUCUGUCUCUUAUAAGGACAGCCUCCUUGGGUUUAGGGCCGAGCCUAAUCCAAGAUAAUCCUAUUUCUAUCCUUAGCUUAACUGUAUCUGCAAACACCCUGUUUCCAAAUAAGGCCACGUUCUGAGGUCCCAGGUGGACAUGAAUUUGGGGGGGGGGGCACUAUGCAGCCCACUACACUGAGGUGGGUCAGCAGCAGUCCAAGGAAAUGACAUGGACGUGUCGUGCCCCCACCCGUCAG